CCGGCGCCUCGGGACUCGCCACGGGGCACCGGUGUGCUCGCGGCGUUGCACGCUCACCGGCGCUCGGGUGCACUCGUGCGGGCAGGCGUGCUUGCACGCGCUUGUGCACACUCAUACGUGCUUGCGCAUACCUGGGCACACUUGUGUUUGCGCUCGCACUCGGGCACACUUGUCUAUGUUUGUGCAACAGUGGGGGCAGCUUGGACACACAGGCUUAGGCACACCUAUACAUGCUCCAGCGCAUUUCUGCACGCUCAGGCACACUUGUGCACACUUCCACACGCUCAUGCACCUGCAUAUGCUUGGACACAUUCACAAAUGCUCAAGCACGCCUGGGCACGGCUGCACGCUCCAAGAUGCUUGGAUGCACUCACACACACUCAGGUACAUGUGCACGCACAUACAGGCUCGGGUGUGCUCACAAACACUCAGGCACACUUGGGUGUGCUCUCAGGUGCUGGGUGCACUCACACACACUUUGGCACGUGCAUGUGCUCACGCCUACUGCCAGCUUCCUCACACUCAUGUGUGUGCACUCACACACAUCCACGCGUGCUUCAGCAUGUUUAUGCACGCUUGUGCACAUUUGCGCGUGCUCAGGCAUGGCAGGGCACGCUCGUGCAUGCUUUGGCGUGCUUACACGUGCUUGGACACACCGAUGCACUCUCAAGCACACUUGUGUACACACAUGCUGGGGCACGCUCGUGCACAUUUGGAUGUGCUCAUGCUUGCUUCCACAUGCUGGGGCACACUCACACAUGCUUAGGCGUGCUUGCACAUGCGCAGAGGUGCUGGUGCACACUCAGACACACUUGUACAUGCUUUAUAAACAUUUGCAAACCCUUGUGCACACUUGGACACGCUCACGUGUCACCGGCAUGCUCACACACUGGGAAGUGCUUGUGCAAGCUUCCGUGCGCUCACAGCUGCUCACCACGUGUGCACACCCUUGGGCACGGCAGCACACACCGGGGCACGUUCCUGCACGCUUGCACACGCUCACACACAUUCACACACGCGGGGGCACACUCAGACACACUCAAACCCACUCAGACACAGCCACGCACAGCUGCACACACCCUCACACGGGGACACGCUCAUCUCGGGCACGUUGGCCGUGCUCGUGCCCCGUUUGGCACACCCGCGGGCCCCCUCCCGGCCCUUGCACGCGCGGGGGCACACUCGCAGCUCGCCCUCCGCGGCGUUCCCAUGCGCGGGGCCCACCCAGCGCUCGGCGGGGCGGGCGCGCGGGCGGGCGGCGUGGCGGGGAGCGGCCGUGCCUGCGAGGCCAGCCCAACCGGCCCGCG
rnacentral:lncRNA from 1 species